GCCUGCACUUCGGGAUAAGCCUGGGAAACUGGGUCUAAUACCGGAUAGGAGCCAUUUUUAGUGUGAUGGUUGGAAAGUUUUUUCGGUGUAGGAUGAGCUCGCGGCCUAUCAGCUCGUUGGUGGGGUAAUGGCUUACCAAGGCGGCGACGGGUAGCCGGCCUGAGAGGGUGGACGGCCACAUUGGGACUGAGAUACGGCCCAG
rnacentral:rRNA from 1 species